UUUUGAUUUACAAAAUACCAUUGAAGAAAAGGAAGAACAAUGAUCAAUACGCAGAAGUUUCUUCUAACAACAUUUGUUGUAGUUUUUCUUUUCUCCACAUGUAUGGCCAAAGUUCAAAUUCACUUAGAGAAAUGUUUUGCAACAUGUGGUCAAAUCCCUAAUUGUAACUUAUUCUGCAUUAACAAUGGAUUUUUGCAAGGACUGUGCACUGCAAUCAAUAAUACUCUAAUAUGUUGUUGUUACAAUCUAUAGAGUCAUAAACUUGUAGCUUAGAGCUGUAAUUUCUCCUUAUUUGAAGAUAAUAUUUUGCUUUAUAAAUAUAAAUAAGCUUCAUUAGAAGCAAAUAAAACAUGAAAUAUUAUCAUGAA